rnacentral:rRNA from 1 species
UACGGGGGGGGCAAGCGUUGUUCGGAAUUACUGGGCGUAAAGGGCGUGUAGGUGGCCAACUAAGUCCGACGUGAAAUCCCCAGGCUUAACCUGGGAACUGCGUCGGAUACUGGAUGGCUUGAAUUCGGGAGAGGAAUGCAGAAUUCCAGGUGUAGCGGUGAAAUGCGUAGAUAUCUGGAGGAAUACCGGUGGCGAAGGCGGCAUCCUGGACCAUUACUGACGCUGAGGCGCGAAAGCUAGGGGAGCAAACGGG